ensembl:rRNA 5S_rRNA 5S ribosomal RNA
AGCCACAGCCAUAUCAGGCUUGCAGCCCAAGACCGGUUACUCACUGAAGCUCAGCAGGGCUGGGCCUGGUCAGUACCUGUAUGGGUGACUACAUGGGAAAAACUAGGUUGCUGUUGGAA